UCACUCUCUCCAACAAAUAUGUUAUUUGUAAUACCUAUCUUCUCUAAUCUAGGUGUUUGAAAAAUGUCUCUAACGUGUGUGGGCUAGAAGACAUUUUGUUUUUCUGUGGGUAUAUUCAUUUAACAAGGGCAGUGUUUGAGGAACUAUCAAAAACUGCUUGUCAUCUUUCCAAAUCACCUCUCUCUGCAGUGACCAUGACUUAAUCCUGAAGGAAAACAAGUUCCUGGAUCCAGCCUUGCAUGAAGCUACUCUGCCCUUGAACUUUUCACCCAGCUCUUCACUCUUGUCCUCUUAUCGAUCUGCCAUCCUACUGGCUAAACUUAGAUGGUUCUUAUAAGGGGGCCACUCUGCUGAAUAUAGCUGGCUGUUAUUGAUGGUUACUACUUUGGAGCUACAGUUCUACCAGAUCAUCCAUCCCAGAAACCAAAUCAAUAAGACAUGGAAUCUUCAUCAGUCAAGAGCCAAGUACUUUGAAGUAUUCAUACAUACCAGCUGGGAGAAACAUACCACUGCUACACUUAAACCUAAACACGUGGACUGCAUGAUAUUACUGGCAAAUUGGAUAUAUUAAGGUUCACAAUUUCUUGGAGCUAACUGUGUGUAUUUAGGCAAU